rnacentral:rRNA from 1 species
AAUGAACGCUGGCGGCGUGCCUAAUACAUGCAAGUCGAGCGAACAGACGAGGAGCUUGCUCCUCUGACGUUAGCGGCGGACGGGUGUGUAACACGUGGAUAACCUACCUAUAAUACUGGGAUAACUUCGGGAAACCGGAGCUAAUACCGGAUAAUAUAUUGAACCGCAUGGUUCAAUAGUGAAAGACGGUUUUGCUGUCACUUAUAGAUGGAUCCGCGCCGCAUUAGCUAGUUGGUAAGGUAACGGCUUACCAAGGCGACGAUGCGUAGCCGACCUGAGAGGGUGAUCGGCCACACUGGAACUGAGACACGGUCCAGACGCCUACGGGAGGCAGCAGUAGGGAAUCUUCCGCAAUGGGCGAAAGCCUGACGGAGCAACGCCGCGUGAGUGAUGAAGGUCUUCGGAUCGUAAAACUCUGUUAUUAGGGAAGAACAAAUGUGUAAGUAACUAUGCACGUCUUGACGGUACCUAAUCAGAAAGCCACGGCUAACUACGUG